GAUGAACGCUAGCGGCAGGCUUAACACAUGCAAGUCGAGGGGUAUAGGUUUUCGGACCUAGAGACCGGCGCACGGGUGCGUAACGCGUAUGCAAUCUACCUUUCACAGAGGGAUAGCCCAGAGAAAUUUGGAUUAAUACCUCAUAGUAUAGCAGUUUCGCAUGAAACCACUAUUAAAGUAUCAACGGUGAAAGAUGAGCAUGCGUCCCAUUAGCUAGAUGGUAAGGUAACGGCUUACCAUGGCUACGAUGGGUAGGGGUCCUGAGAGGGAGAUCCCCCACACUGGUACUGAGACACGGACCAGACUCGUACGGGAGGCAGCAGUGAGGAAUAUUGGUCAAUGGACGCAAGUCUGAACCAGCCAUGCCGCGUGCAGGGUGACGGUCCUAUGGAUUGUAAACUGCUUUUGUACGAGAAGAAACAACAUUACGUGUAAUGUCUUGACGGUAUCGUAAGAAUAAGGAUCGGCUAACUCCGUGCCAGCCGCCGCAGUAACAC
rnacentral:rRNA from 1 species